GACGAACGCUGGCGGCGUGCUUAACACAUGCCAGUCGAACGGAAAGGCCCUGCUUUUGUGGGGUGCUCGAGUGGCGAACGGGUGAGUAACACGUGAGUAACCUGCCCUUGACUUUGGGAUAACUUCAGGAAACUGGGGCGAAUACCGGGUAUGAGCUCCUGCUGCAUGGUGGGGGUUGGAAAGUUUCGGCGGUUGGGGAUGGACUCGCGGCUUAUCAGCUUGUUGGUGGGGUAGUGGCUUACAAAGGCUUUGACGGGUAGCUGGACUGAGAGGGUGACAGGCCACAUUGGGACUGGGAUACGGCCAAGACUCCUACGGGAGGCAGCAGUGGGGAAUAUUGCACAAUGGGCGGAAGCAUGAUGCAGCAACGCCGCGUGCGGGAUGACGGCCUUCGGGUUGUAAACCGCUUUCGCCUGUGACGAAGAGUGAGUGACGGUAAUGGGUCAAGAAGCACCGGCUAACUACGUG
rnacentral:rRNA from 1 species